GACGAACGCUGGCGGCGUGCUUAACACAUGCAAGUCGAACGCUGAACCCGCUUCGGUGGUGGUUGAUUGGCGUACGGGUGCGUAACACGUGGGCAACCUGCCCCCGGUUCUGGGAUAAUUCCAAUAAAUUGGUGCUAAUACCGGUUGUGACCGCUGGCCUCAUGGUCUGGUGUUGGAAAGGUUUUCCGGCUGGGGAUGGGCGCGCGGCCUAUCAGCUUGUUGGUGGGGUAGUGGCCUACGAAGGCGACUACGGGUAGCCGGCCUGAGAGGGUGACCGGCCACACUGGGACUGAGACACGGCGCAGACUCCUACGGGAGGCAGCAGUGGGGAAUAUUGCGAAAUGGGCGGAAGCCUGACGCAGCGAAGCCGCGUGGGGGAUGACGGCCUUCGGGUUGUAAACCUCUUUCAGCAGGGACGAAGCGCAAGUGACGGUACCUGCAGAAGAAGCACCGGCCAACUACGUG
rnacentral:rRNA from 1 species